AGAGUUUGAUCCUGGCUCAGGAUGAACGCUAGCGGUGUGCUUAAAGCAUGCAAGUCGAACGUGAUCCUUGGAUUCGUUCAAGGUGAAAGUGGCGAACGGGUGAGUAACGCGUUGGUGAUCUGCCCCGGAGUGGGGGAUAACUAUCGGAAACGAUAGCUAAUACCCCAGAUGUUAUCGUGUUUGGAAAGCGAUAACUAAAGUUCAGGCGCUCCGGGAGGAGCCUGCGUCCCAUCAGCUAGUUGGUAGGGUAAUGGCCUACCAAGGCAAAGACGGGUAGGGGGCGUGAGAGCGUGGCCCCCCACACUGGUACUGACACACGGACCAGAUGCCUACGGGUAGCAGCAGCUAGGAAUAUUGGGCAAUGGGCGAAAGCCUGACCCAGCAACACCGCGUGAAGGACGAAGGCCUUCGGGUUGUAAACUUCUUUUCGAGGGAAAGAGAAAGGACGGUACCCUCGGAAUAAGGCCCGGCUAACUACGUGCCAGCAGCCGCGGUAAUACGUAGGGGCCAAGCGUUAUCCGGAUUUACUGGGCGUAAAGCGCAUGUAGGCGGUCGAUCAAGUCGGAUGUGAAAGCUCCUGGCUUAACUGGGAGAGGUCAUUCGAAACUAGUCGGCUGGAGGGUGGUAGAGGAGAGCGGAAUUCCAGGUGUAGCGGUGAAAUGCGUAGAUAUCUGGAGGAACACCAGUGGCGAAAGCGGCUCUCUGGACCAUUCCUGACGCUGAGAUGCGAAAGCCAGGGGAGAGAACGGGAUUAGAAACCCCGGUAUUCCUGGCCGUAAACGAUGUCAACUAGGCGUAGGAGGUUAUUAACCCCUUCUGUGCUGUAG
rnacentral:rRNA from 1 species